AGAGCAAUCGAACUAGGAAAGCCCUCGAAAAGGAGUCCCAGCGCAAGUCGAGGCCGAGGGGCACGUGACGACCGAGCGCUAACUUUAAAAGCUAAGCCCUAGUCUGGUUUGUUUCUUUUUUUAAAGCGUACCAUGCUUUAAAUCCGAAACGCAUCUCCUGGAACUCUUUUUAUUGCCUCCAAAGACCUAAAGGCGGGCUGUGAGUGGUAAAGGAGAAGGCACUCUGUGCAUGCUCAAGGGUAUCUUUUCGCCCACCUGUUCCUAGAUUGGACCCUGGUAUGGAAAAUCUCGGGCGCUUGGAUUUUGGCCGAAGGAGGACUCGAAAGGCCGGAGUUCUGAAAAUGCUCCAAGGGUUGCAUCCCUUUAAAAUAUGGGUUGCGUUAUCCACCCGUUUUUUAAAAGUGCAGCAUGUCAAAAAGAUGGAUUUUAGCCCGUCGUUUUGUGUUCUAACCUUGGAGAUUAGUAAAGCAUUCAGUACCCACCCAAUUCCUGUACCUGCCCUUUCUAAAUACAACAAAUAGCAUUUGCAAUGAGAGGUUUCCCAAACAAGCUAAAAGGCCACAGGCUUUGCUAUGUAUGAUUUAUAGUCAGGGUCAAGCCUGCAUUCUUGCCUGCUCCCCACUUACACACUUAGAAGACUGCUGCGGGUCGAGCAGUCAGGCCAUGGGAUGUACAGUAUGUGUAUAUAUUGUUAUAUGCACUACAGCAGGCUUUCCCAAACUUGGGUCUCCAGCUGUUUUUGAACUACAAUGCCCACCAUACCUAGCUAGCAGGACCAGGCAUUAUGGGAAUUGUAGUCCAAAAACAUCUGGAGACCCAAGUUGGGAAAUCCUGCGCUAGGGUGAUGACACUACAACUAGUGUAAAUGAGCUCUUGUCUGGUUCUUAUUUUUUUACUAUGGGUACCAACUGAUGUUGGUACAUAUCCCCCAGAUAUACCUAUGUUGCUGGUAAAUUGACAGCUUUUAAUCCAUAGUACCAAAGUGGACAAGUUUUCUAGUGCUCUAUGUAAUAAUGCGUGCCUUGUAAGCAGUAUCAUACAACUGGCUUCUUCAAGCCACUUUCUUUCUAUGUCAGUUAUAGGGGCUAACUUUUAAUGUAACAUUAAACAAGUGUGCUGAUUUUCAUUGGCCAGAAGUCACAAGUUCCAGACUUGUGCCCUGGUCUGUGCUAUAACCAUACACUUAAUGGUCCCCACCCACCAAAUUUAUCCACUGAGAGAGGAAAGAGAAUCAGUUAACUUAAUUGAAGGGAGGCAAAUGAUGGAAAGCAAAGCACAAGCCCAGCCUCCUAACCACUGCAACCUCUUGAUUGUGUAUGUGGCGAGAGAACCCACAAAGGCACUGCAGUUGUCUAUAGUAGUAGUAGUAGUGGUAGUAUGUAGUAAUAACAAUAUUUUUUAUAUGCCGCCCAUCCAACUGAGUUGCCCCAGCCAUUCUGGGUAGCUUCCAGCAAAUUAAAACAUCAAACACAGUAAAACAUCAAACAUUAAGAACUUCCCUGUGCAGGGCUGCCUACAGGGAUUCCCACAUGGCAGGGAUGAUGUUGCCAGCCUUCAUGUCAUGUUUGCAGACAUCUUUGUAAUGCAGAGUUGGUCAGCCAGCUCUCCAAUAGGAACAUGUCCACAUGUUCAUUCUGUGGAUAUGACCAAGCUAGCAUAGAUGUUGCUGAGACAGGACUGUGAACAUGCUGGGAAUGUGGACUUGGGAGAGAGACUUUGUCCAAAGCUCUGUCCUGCCACGUGAUACCCAUAACUCUGGCUGUUGUGGUAAAUCUUCCCAUUUCGCAAGCUGCCUUGAGCACUAUGGACAGGCGGCAUACAAUGAAGAUGACGAUAUUGGCCAGUGUGGCAUAGUGGUUGAGACUGAGUCCCUACUCAGCCAUGAAGCUCCCUGGGUGACCCUGGGCUGACCACUAUCACUCAGCCUAACUUUCCUCACAGGGUUGCAGGAAUGCCAGCUUGGCCCUGCGACCGUGGGUCCCCGUGGCCGUGGGUGCCAUGCAACGUUGUGCAUGGCCCUGGCACCCAAAUCUGUGGGUGCCUUUCAGAAUUCCUGGAGGGAAGGAGGGAAGUCCUAAGAUUCAAAAGAAUCUUGUUUUAUUUGCAGUGUUUUCAAGAAUGUUAAUUGUGUGAUUGAUUUUGUAAAACGAAAUAAAAUUAUUU